ACUCAAAGGAAUUGACGGGGGCCCGCACAAGCGGAGGAACAUGUGGUUUAAUUCGAUGAUACGCGAGGAACCUUACCCGGGCUUGAAAUGCAGAGGAAUGACUUGGAAACAGGUCCGCCAGCAAUGGUCUCUGUGUAGGUGCUGCAUGGUUGUCGUCAGCUCGUGCCGUGAGGUGUCGGCUUAAGUGCCAUAACGAGCGCAACCCCUAUCAUUAGUUACUAACAGGUUAAGCUGAGGACUCUAGUGAGACUGCCACCGUAAGGUGUGAGGAAGGUGGGGAUGACGUCAAAUCAGCACGGCCCUUACGUCCGGGGCGACACACGUGUUACAAUGGGGGGUACAGAGGGUUGCUACCUGGUGACAGGAUGCUAAUCUCUUAAAGCCUCUCUCAGUUCGGAUCGAAGUCUGCAACUCGACUUCGUGAAGCUGGAUUCGCUAGUAAUCGCGCAUCAGCCAUGGCGCGGUGAAUACGUUCCCGGGCCUUGCACACACCGCCCGU
rnacentral:rRNA from 1 species